rnacentral:rRNA from 1 species
ACGUAGCCAGCAAGCGUUGUUCGGAGUUANUGGGCGUAAAGAGUGCGUAGGCGGUGCCNUAAGUCUGGUGUGAANNUCUCCCGGNUCAACCGGGAGGGUGCGCCGGAAACUGGGGUGUUUCGAGUGUGGGAGAGGCAGGCGGAAUUCCCGGUGUAGCGGUGAAAUGCGCAGAUAUCGGGAGGAACACCCGCGGUGUAGACGNCCUGCUGGACCACUACUGACGCUGAGGCACGAAAGCGUGGGGAGCAAACAGGAUUAGAUACCCUGGUAGUCCACGCCCUAAACGAUGCAUACUUGGUGUGAGCCAUUCAUUUGGUUUCGUGCCGGAGCUAACGCGUUAAGUAUGCCGCCUGG